GAUGAACGCUGGCGGUGUGCCUAAUACAUGCAAGUCGAGCGAACAGACGAGGAGCUUGCUCUUCUGACGUUAGCGGCGGACGGGUGAGUAACACGUGGAUAACAUACCUCUAAGACUGGGAUAACUUCGGGAAACCGGAGCUAAUACCGGAUAAUAUAUUGAACCGCAUGGUUCAAUAGUGAAAGACGGUUUUGCUGUCACUUAUAGAUGGAUCCGCGCCGCAUUAGCUAGUUGGUAAGGUAACGGCUUACCAAGGCAACGAUGCGUAGCCGACCUGAGAGGGUGAUCGGCCACACUGGAACUGAGACACGGUCCAGACUCCUACGGGAGGCAGCAGUAGGGAAUCUUCCGCAAUGGGCGAAAGCCUGACGGAGCAACGCCGCGUGAGUGAUGAAGGUCUUCGGAUCGUAAAACUCUGUUAUUAGGGAAGAACAAAUGUGUAAGUAACUAUGCACGUCUUGACGGUACCUAAUCAGAAAGCCACGGCUAACUACGUG
rnacentral:rRNA from 1 species